GACUGGAGUCAGACUUGUGCUCUACUGUUGUGCAUAUAAUACUUCUGUCCAUGACUGUAGCUGGUAUGACAUUUCCAGAAAGAUCUUG